rnacentral:rRNA from 1 species
UACGUAGGUGGCAAGCGUUGUUCGGAAUUACUGGGCGUAAAGCGCGCGUAGGCGGCUCUUCAAGUCAGGCGUGAAAGCCCCGGGCUUAACUCGGGAACUGCGCUUGAUACUGUCGAGCUAGAGUGUGGAAGGGGCGAUUGGAAUUCCGUGUGUAGCGGUGAAAUGCGUAGAUAUACGGAGGAACACCAGGGGCGAAGGCGGAUCGCUGGGCCAACACUGACGCUGAUGCGCGAAAGCUAGGGGAGCAAACGGG